UACAGAGGUCUCAAGCGUUGUUCGGAUUCAUUGGGCGUAAAGGGUGCGUAGGCGGUAGAGUAAGUCUGGUGUGAAAUCCUGGAGCUUAACUUCAGAAAUGCACUGGAUACUGCUUUGCUAGAGGACUGGAGAGGAGAUUGGAAUUCACGGUGUAGCAGUGAAAUGCGUAGAUAUCGUAAGGAAGACCAGUGGCGAAGGCGGGUCUCUGGACAGUUCCUGACGCUGAGGCACGAAGGUCAGGGGAGCAAACGGG
rnacentral:rRNA from 1 species